AUUGAACGCUGGCGGCAGGCCUAACACAUGCAAGUCGAGCGGAGCGGCGGACGGGUGAGUAAUGCCUAGGAAUCUGCCUGGUAGUGGGGGAUAACGUCCGGAAACGGGCGCUAAUACCGCAUACUAUCAGAUGAGCCUAGGUCGGAUUAGCUAGAUGGUGGGGUAAAGGCCUCCCAUGGCGACGAUCCGUACCUGGUCUGAGAGGAUGAUCAGUCAAACGGGAACUGAGACACGGCCAAGACUCCUAUGGGAGGCAGCAGUGGGGAAUAUUGGACAAUGGGCGAAAGCCUGAGCCAUCCAUGCCGCGUGUGUGAAGAAGUUCUUGGGAUUGUAAAGCACUUUAAGUUGGGAGGCGGUACCAACAGAAUAAGCACCGGCUAACUUCGUGCCAGCAGCCGCGGUAAUUC
rnacentral:rRNA from 1 species